GCGCUACAUUCGAACGCGUCGGCCAGAACAUUGCCAGUCACGUCCACGUCAUAGUCUGUCCACAUUCACACGACAGGUGAGCUGCAUCAUGGAAGAGCAAAGUCCGCUUGACUGGCCCAAGCUGCCUACCAAAAGUGACGAAGAGAAAUCUACGCCCAGGUCAGAUUUUCUCCCAGUCGCGGAAAAUUUCAAUGCCGAGGAUUCCGAAGUUGUAUGCGUGACUGCUGAGAAGGCGGGUGAAUUCAGGUCAGCCAACAGCGAUGCAGUUGUCAAGUAUCCGGGAGCGCAGGAACGUCCACCUCCAGACCUCGCAUCCAAAGCAGCGACGUCAUUCGAGGAGGCACUUGCAAAGUAUCCAGAAAUCUUAUACGAAGUCUACUGUAAGCAUUUCAACAAACUGUCUGCGAUUCAGAGCCAAUUCUGGUCAACCCUGCGCAAAGGUCACCACCUUACUGAUACUGCACAAACGGGUACAGGCAAGACACUGGCAUUUCUCUUACCUGCUGCCUUGGGCGACGUCGACAACCAGGAUCUUCAAAGGCAAGAGUGGAAAGGUCUGUCAUGUCUCGUCAUAAUCCCGACACGCGAAUGAGACCAGCAGAUAAAGUGGGAAGCGACGAAAUACAGAGGGGUCAAGUCCGUGCCCAUUUAUGGAGGUGGCAAUCGGCGAGAGGAGAUGGACGCUGUCCAGCAGUGUGGUUGUAGACGUCGCCACUCCUGGACCUCGUGUGCACGACCUUUAUUAUUAUGGAUGAAGCGUACCACAUGCAGGACAUGGGCCGUGAACUGGAAAUCCGGAAGAUUGUGUUGAACGUCAGGUCGGACCGCCAAACCAUAAUGACAAGUGCCACUUGCCCAGAAGGCCUGCACCGCCUGUCAGAACAAUUUACGAACAAUACGUUCGAGGUGUUCAUCGGCUCACACUGCAGCCCAGGAUUUCAUUUUUCGUUUGCAAUCAUUCGUCACAAUAUUUUCUCGUGUAUUUACGUAUGUUACUGUAUUUUUUAAUUUGCGUUUCUUUGAUAUAGGGCGAAGUCUGCAUGUUCUUUAUUAAAUGUUUAUGGGUAUUA